GUGCCAGCCGCCGCGGUAAUACGUAGGGUCCGAGCGUUGUCCGGAAUUACUGGGCGUAAAGAGCUCGUAGGUGGUUUGUCGCGUUGUUCGUGAAAACUCACAGCUUAACUGUGGGCGUGCGGGCGAUACGGGCAGACUAGAGUACUGCAGGGGAGACUGGAAUUCCUGGUGUAGCGGUGGAAUGCGCAGAUAUCAGGAGGAACACCGGUGGCGAAGGCGGGUCUCUGGGCAGUAACUGACGCUGAGGAGCGAAAGCGUGGGGAGCGAACAGGAUUAGAUACCCUGGUAGUCCACGCCGUAAACGGUGGGUACUAGGUGUGGGUUUCCUUCCUUGGGAUCCGUGCCGUAGCUAACGCAUUAAGUACCCCGCCUGGGGAGUACGGCCGCAAGGCUAAAACUCAAAGGAAUUGACGG
rnacentral:rRNA from 1 species